rnacentral:lncRNA from 1 species
CAUUGAGACAAACUAGUUUUUCUGUGGACAAUUGAAUUUAAGUUUGUCAAAAGUCUGCAUUCAAGCUUAUAGAAUUUGCACUCUUUUCAGUUGUAAACACAGAUUUGACUUGACACAGUUCAAGGUGUGGAAAUUUAUAUUCAAAUCACAUUUUUCUGUCAGUGAAGCAAAUAAUGUUGUAUUUUGCCAGCAAAAUUUGAAUUUGAUAAAUAUUGGAGGAAGAUUAAAGAUUUGACACUACUUAA